AGAGUUUGAUCCUGGCUCAGAAUGAACGUUGGCGGCGUGGAUUAGGCAUGCAAGUCGAGCGAGAACCCGCAAGGGGGACAGCGGCAAACGGGGUAGUAACGGGUAGGUGACGUACCCUCGGGUCGGGGAUAGCCACGGGAAACUGUGGGUAAUACCCGAUAAUCUCUUGAGGCGUGAUAGCUUUGAGAGCAAAGGUGAGAUUCCACCUGGGGAGCGGCCUGCUUCGUAUUAGCUAAUUGGUGAGGUAACGGCUCACCAAGGCGACGAUGCGUAGGGGGUGUGAGAGCAUGACCCCCACCACUGGGACUGAGAUACUGCCCAGACACCUACGGGUGGCUGCAGUCGAGAAUCUUCGGCAAUGGGCGCGAGCCUGACCGAGCGACGCCGCGUGUGGGAUGAAUGCCCUUGGGGUUGUAAACCACUGUCAGAGGGGAUGAC
rnacentral:rRNA from 1 species